UAUGGUAAUUGCCAGCAGCCGCGGUAAUACGUAGGGGGCAAGCGUUAUCCGGAUUUACUGGGUGUAAAGGGAGCGUAGACGGCAAGGCAGGUCUGAUGUGAAAACCCAGGGCUUCACCCUGGGACUGCAUUGGAAACUGUCUGGCUCGAGUGCCGGAGAGGUAAGCGGAAUUCCUAGUGUAGCGGUGAAAUGCGUAGAUAUUAGGAAGAACACCAGUGGCGAAGGCGGCUUACUGGACGGUAACUGACGUUGAGGCUCGAAAGCGUGGGGAGCAAACAGG
rnacentral:rRNA from 1 species